rnacentral:lncRNA from 1 species
GCAGAGUCCCGUCCCUGUUCUGUCUCAGAAGUACAGUCAAGCAUCAUGAAAAAAGGCAGGAUGUUGUCCACACUGACAAAAGGAGCUUCGGAACACGGAGCACCACAGCCGCCCCCUCUGUGAAGGCAGGUUGGCCAACAGCUGCAUCACGCACCUCCGUGGCUCAGAGACACCAAAAGUGCCGAGAUGCACCGAAGAUCCAGCAGUACCAUCGGACCUCCUCACCUGAGUUUAGAUGGACACAUGGCUGCCCCACUGCAGCCACUGCAGCAGGUUGUGACCGUGGGACAAGGUUUGGGCCACAGAGUUGUGCAGUGUCGCCUCUCCCUUCCCACAGUGGCUGUGACACUGGUACAGGGUGCCGUUACUGCAGAGCAGGUAAGGAAAGGCAGCUGCAUCUCUUACAAGCCCUGGAGCAGCCCCCACCAGCCUGCACACCCC